rnacentral:rRNA from 1 species
UACGGGGGGAGCAAGCGUUGUUCGGAUUUACUGGGCGUAAAGGGCGCGUAGGCGGCCACCGCAAGUCGAUUGUGAAAUCUCCGGGCUUAACCCGGAAAGGUCAACCGAUACUGCGGGGCUAGAGUGCGGAAGGGGCAACUGGAAUUCUUGGUGUAGCGGUGAAAUGCGUAGAUAUCAAGAGGAACACCUGCGGCGAAGGCGGGUUGCUGGGCCGACACUGACGCUGAUGCGCGAAAGCUAGGGGA